UACGGGGGGCUGCAGUGGGGAAUUUUGGACAAUGGGCGCAAGCCUGAUCCAGCCAUGCCGCGUGUGUGAAGAAGGCCUUCGGGUUGUAAAGCACUUUCGGCCGGAACGAAAUCGCGCGGGUGAACAAUCCGCGUGGAUGACGGUACCGGAAGAAGAAGCACCGGCUAACUACGUGCCAGCAGCCGCGGUAAUACGUAGGGUGCGAGCGUUAAUCGGAAUUACUGGGCGUAAAGCGUGCGCAGGCGGCGCCGCAAGUCAGGCGUGAAAUCCCCGGGCUUAACUUGGGAAUGGCGCUUGAAACUACGGUGCUUGAGUGUGGCAGAGGGAGGUGGAAUUCCACGUGUAGCGGUGAAAUGCGUAGAGAUGUGGAGGGACACCGAUGGCGAAGGCAGCCUCCUGGGCCAACACUGACGCUCAUGGACGAAAGCGUGGGGAGCAAACAGGAUUAGAUACCCGAGUAGUCAUCUUUCUAGA
rnacentral:rRNA from 1 species